UACAGGCGACAGUACCCACCACAACAGUGUACGACACGUCGACACCAAGUAUGUAUCUUUCUCGAUCGAGCCAACAGCCAAAGCAUGCAUCCAUGAACCCAGCACCUCUAGGGUCUAGGCUCUAGCAGGUGAGGUUGCCCCCGGGGUCGACGCCGAGCUGCUGGCAGUACUGCCUGUAGUAUCCAACCCUUGCGUUCAUUUUAUCGGUGUUCUUGCCGUCGCACUCGAGGUCUCCGUUGAUGGCCCUAGUCGUGGCGCCGAACCCCCGCGGCAUCACCCCGUGCACGUUGUUCAUCCAGUACCAGAGCGCCGCCUUGAACGCGAUCACGGGGUCCUGCGCAACCACGUCCGGGUUGCCGAGCCCGUCGAAUUUGAUAUCCCUCCCGGCUGCCCCGUAGUUGUAGUUCCACGAGAGCUGCAGCGGGCCGCGCCCAUAGUACUUCUUCCCCGCGGCGCACGGCCACUGCGUGUAGCUCGGGUUGCAGUAGGGGUCGUUCUUGUUGAUCUCGCUGAUGUAGCAGAAAUCUGUCGGUACGGAGACGGUGCACAAUAAGUCCAGAAUGAUUGACGUGCGUUCGUCAUACAUCCCGCAGAAGAAAGAUUAGAGUGUGCAGUUAGUGGGGAACUGAAGUUCGAUCGACUUACAUCCGGUCUCGUGCGUGACGUGCGCGAAGAAGGCGGCGAUCUCGCGCUUGCCCUCGACCUCCGAGCCGCCGCGCGCGAAGCCGGAGUACGAGUUCACGGCGUUCAGGAACGCGCCCCGCGUGUAGAAGUUCUUGCCCUCGCACGAGCUCGGGGCCUGGUUCUUGAUGCCGUUGAAGAACGCGUCGGUGACGACGUUGGCCACGUUCGCGCCGCCCCCGCCCCGUAUGCACGGGCCCGACUGGCACCCAUCGCCGCAGUACUCGGUGGUCUGGCCGCAGAAGCCAAACCUGCUGCAGCAGAAGUUUGGCUGGCAACCGCAAUUCUGCGCGGCGCCCGGGCCGGCGGCGGCGAGCAGCAGUGCGAGACCGCCGAGAGCCACGGCGGCCAGGAUCGUCGGCGCGUUUGCCAUACUGUCUUUGGUUGCUGCGGUGCAGCUUGUUGUGACUUGUGAGUUGAUGAUAUCAUGAGGAUACACGGUGUGGCUUUAUAUGGCGAUGAUGAGGGCGUGCAGAUGCUCGGUGCAGGAUAUGUAUGGAUGGAAUGGCUUCGCUGACCGGCGGCCUACCAUUUGUGCUGGCACGACUGUUCCACGUCUGUGAUGACCUCGUCGCACAUGUGACACAGCAAUACAGCAUGUACCGGCAAGCUACUCCAAAUAUUCGUAUGUUCAGAUACCAUCAGAUUUGGUUCGCCGCCGAGCGCUUGUAUACUCGUCGGUGGAAAAAUCCACGCAUGUGUCAUUGCUUUCUGUGAUCUUUCGCGUCUGUGUACCGGGCCGCCGCGGGCAGCCGUAUAUUGUUGCUCGAUUCGACGUACCUAGUAGCUUGUGAGGACGUUUGGUGCCAGCGUGUUCCACUGACCAACACAGAAAUGUCAAGUUGGAGACGAGACUUCCAAGCUAGCUGCCGAUGAUGGCUGCCUAAUUUGGGCCGCGUGCGCAAACCUACAAUUUUGUUUUGUUUUAUUUUAUUAUUUUUCUCUAGAUCACUCUUGGGAGAUUUUUGUUCUUUCUUAUUUCAGAAGAAUCCGAAUUACAGAGGAUUAAGAAUAUUCUCACGUUUUUCUCGAGAUGAUUUUUUUUUUGAGACAGGAUCAGAUUCAUUGGCCUUGGGUUGAAACCAAUUUGCUUUCAUCUAACACCCUUUAAAUGGGCAGAAUGCUCCUAGGGUACCAGAUUAAUUAAAUAUAGGCUUUCAAAUUUAAUUUUGCGCCCACUAACAAUAAAUAACGACGACGACAGUCCGUUCGCGUACGCAGUACAACGCCCAUUUGAGCCGUGCGUACCUCCAUUCCUAACUCUACUAUUCAAAUGCAACUCGACCAGUGUUGAACUGUCACCUCGUUUACAUGGUCAAGAAGCUGAAUUAUCGUUGAAGUGUGGCUGCUUCCAUCAUCGAUCAUUUCCUCAUGAUGUCGGCGUUGAUGGAUACAUGAAAUCGAUGGGAGCACCGUUUACUGUAUUGUUUCUGCCUUAUUGACUACUGGUCUGUUAGUUUAUGAGCCUUCUAUUAGGCCUUGUUUAGUUGGUCAAAUUGGAAGAUGCAAAAUUAUUGUGCUAGCACUGUAGCACACUAUAACGUUUCGUUUGUAUUUAUGAAUUAUUGUCCAAAUAUUGACUAAUUAGGCUCAAAAGAUUCGUCUCGCAAAGUACAACAAAACUGUGCAAUUAGUUUUUAAUUUCGUUUACAUUUAGUACUCCAUGCAUGUACCGCAAGUUUGAUGUGAUGGGGAAUCUUCUUUUUGCAUAGUGUCAAAGUUGGGAGUUGGGGGUAACUAAACAUGACUAGGACGUCCCUGUUCCCCGUCCCCACCCCCACUUGUGUCUUCAGUGUCUGACAUCGCUGUGCCAACUUGGACAGUUGGGCUCUCCACACUAGCCAGCUUUCUAGAAGAAAAUAAUCUCAACUAUGCGUCUCUGUUACCUGCAAAUCGAUUCCAAGCCCACCAUGUAAACCCCAACCAGAUCAAGCACCUUGUCAGGAAAAGGAAAAUUACAUCAAGUAUCCUAGUGAGAAACACAUACACACAUAGACGGACAGAGAGGUCAGCACAAGUUCGGAGAUUGAAGAAAGACGAUGAGCCCUUGAAUUGGAAUGUGCCGGCCAGGAAUAAUCGUGGACUGAGAUUGCUUGUAAAUUUAGUCACAUGACUGAUAUCAUUUCCUUUAUUUCCACUUCUUCUUCUUCUUCUUCUGAUUAGCACAUUGUCGUUGUUUUCUGAUAGACCUUAGCUGAGUCAGAGAACGAAGGCCUAUGAAAUUACUCCAAAACUGAUGGAGGGGAGCCAAAUACUACUAUUCUCGAGGCACAUUCAGUCAAUACUCAAUAACAAUAACUUAGGGGGUUUUGCUAAGGUACUCCCAAGUGAUCGUGGAUCUAGUAACAUAUUACCUCAUAGGAAGUAAUAGAUUUAUUUAUUAAUAUCUAUUUUUAAAAUCUGAAAAUAGGAAAAAUAUUUUACUAUUAGAUCUAACUUCCACACACGAUUGUGUAUCAGAUCUAAAUUUCUUUUUUUCCCUCUCACGUGAAUAUGGAUGGCCGUUCCGGUUCGGAAAAAAGGAAGAACGUGACAUGCAUCUGUCCAAAAAAAAAAGAACGUGACAUAUGUUCAAGUAAAUGUGUUGCGCGGAGAAAUGUGCCAUGUUCAUAUCUUUUUUUCUCCAUGCGGAUGCAGAUGUUUCCUUUUUUAUAAACAAAAUGCAGAUGCAGAUGUUUCGUUUCGAAGAAGAAAUGUAGAUGCAGAUAUUCAAGACUUCAAGUAAACGUGCAGAUGUUCAAGUAAUAUUUCUCUCCAUCCAGAUGCAGAUGUAUUCUCUUAAAAUGUUAUGACGUUGGUUGCAACUAAAAGGAAAGAAAUUGCAUCCAGAUCCAAAUGUGUACACAUGCAGAUGUUGUAACCGCUCCUCCAAGAUUGAAGGAAGCGGUGAUAAUGGGGAGCCGGUUCUUUCUUUAUUUUUUUUCCUUUUUAAUAGUUAAUUUAUCUCUCUUAACAUUUAAGGGCUCAGAUUAAUUAAUUUGAACUCUUACCUCCUAGGAGGUAAUCGGUGUACUGUAGCAUUGCCCUAACUUAGGUCAUCAUUUGUGCUGUAAGCACUUAUUACAAGUACAAUCGAACGCACGCUGGAAUCGUAGAUAAUUGCUAAAGUGUUCGCCGCAAUCCGCAUAUACUAUUACAAACUGCUUCGUUAUUAUUCAGGUCCAGCCCCCUGAAUUAUUUAUUAUUACAAUCACUAGCACUUGUACUCGGUUUCACCAAGUAUGUUUAUCCUUCUAUAGAGCCAAGCAUGCAUCCAUGAACCCAAGCAACACCUCUAGCAGGUGAGGUUGCUCCCGGGGUCGACGCCGAGCUGCUGGCAGUACUGCUGGUAGUAGCCCACUCUCGCGUUCAUCUGAGCGGGGUUGUUCCCGUUGCACUCGAGCGCGCCGUUGAUGGCCCUGAUGGUG
rnacentral:lncRNA from 1 species